rnacentral:lncRNA from 1 species
AGGGUUAGGUUUAGUAUUAGGGUUAGGCAUAGGGUUAGUGUUAGGGUUAGAGUUAUGGUUAGGGUUAGUGUUUGUGUUAGCGUUAGGUUUGGGCUUAGGGUUCAGGUUAGGGUUAGGUUUAAUUUUAGAUUUAGGGUUAGGGUUGGCUUUAGGGGUAGUGUUAGGGUUAGUGUAAGGGUUAGUGUUCGGUUAGGGUUAGGGUUUCUGUUAGGUUUAGGGUUAAGUUAAUCAUUAGGGUUAUGGUUAAGUUUAGAGUUAGAAUUCGGGUUAGGGUUACGGUUAGGGUUAAGGUUAGUGUUAGGUAUAGGUUUAGGUUUAGUGUUAGUUAUGGGGUUAUGGUUGGUGUAAGGGUUAAUGUUAGUGUUAGGGUUAGUGUUAGGGAUAGGUUUAGUGUUAGCAUUAGGUUUAGGAUUAGUUUUAGGUAGGGUUUUGGGUUAGGUUAGGAUUAGGGUUAUGGUUUGGUUAAGGUUUGUAUUAGGGUUAGAGUUAGGUAAAGGGUUUGUCUUGGGGUUAGGGUCUGGGUGUGGGUUAGUGAUAGAGUUACAGUUGGGAUUAUGUUUAGGUUUCAGGUUACAGUUAGUGUUAGGGUUAGUGUUAGAAUUAUAAUGAGGAUUAGGUUUAGGAUUCGUGUUAUAGUUAGGGUUAGGGUUGGAGAUAGGGUGAGGUGUAGGUGUGCGGCUAGGGUUAGGGUUAGUAUUACUCUUAGGUUUAGGUUUAGGGUUAGGAUUACUCUUAGGGUUAGUGUUAGAGAUAGGUUUAGGGUUAGUGUUAGGGUUAGGUUUAGAGUAAGUGUUAGGGUUAGGGUUAUAAUUAUGGAGAGGUUUAGUGUGACUGUUAGGGUUAGUGUUAGUGAUAGGGUUAGGUUUAGGAUUAGGGUUAUGAUUAGUGUUAGGGUUAUGGUUAAGGUUAGA